rnacentral:lncRNA from 1 species
UAUUUGCCUUUGUUGUGUUUGUUUGUUUUGUGAGACAGAGUCUCACUCUGUCGGCCAGGCUGGAGCACAGCGGUGGGAUCUCGGCUCACUGCAACCUCCGCCUCCUGGCGGGAAUCAAGUGAUUCCCCUGCCUCAGGCUCACGGGUAGCUGGAACUACAGGCACCUGCCACCACACCCAGCUAAUUUUUGUAUUUUUAAUAGAGACAGCGUUUCUCCAUGUUGGCCAGGACGGUCUUGAACUCCUGACCUCAGGUGAUCCACCCACCUCAGCCUCCCAAAGUGCUGGGAUUACAGCCCUGAGCCACCGUGCCUGGCCUGUCUUCAUUGCCUUUGAAAAGCCCCAGAUCCAGCCUUCUAGCACAAGAAGGAACUGCAUCGGUGCGGUUGUGAUGAAACCAUUUCGCAUUUACUGAGUGUGCACGCACUCAAUUACAACACGAACAUGUGAAACCAGAACAACGCACAGGAGGAAGGUUGGACAUCAGAACUCUCUGUACCUGCUCUGCAAUUUUUCUGCAAAUCUAAACUUGCUCUGAAAAACAACAUCCAUUUUAUUUAUUGAUCGAUUUGAUUUUUCUGUAGAUACGGUGUUUCGUCCUGUUGCCCAGGCUGGUCUUCUAGGCUCAGCCAUCUGCCCAGCUCAGCCUCCCCAAGUGCUGGGAUUAUGGGAGUGAGCCACCUCGCCCAGCCUAAAAUCCAUUUUAAAAAAACAUGAGAAAUGAUUUGCAUUUGGGACUGAAGAAGAAUGAAAGGCACCUGUAGUUUUGACGCCAAGAAAGCCUAGUUAUACCUUUAUUUUAUUAACCUACUAUUCACCAGGUUUCUGAGUGUGGUUUCUCAGUGUGACCCUAACCCGUCUUAGGAGAGGCGGUGCUAGGAACUGCUAUAGGGGGGCACAGCAGGUGGUCCCUAAAGUUGUGAUGCUCAAGAGAUUCACAGAAUAUCUGAAGAAAAAAGACACGUUUGUUUUUGCAUUUUCUGUGGUUUUGCUGUUGUUGUUCAUCACAAAGUUUGCAGGUUUGCUACAAUUGUGAACAUUCAGAACAAAACACAGAAUAAGAUAAAAAUCAUCAGCUAUGCAAUUGUUUGUUUUUUAAAUACACAUUCUCAAGAUUUUGGUGUUGCUUUUUCUCAGGAUUUUUCUCUGGGAACAUGUUUAUCUUUUCCUGUAGCUGGAAUGACACUCAAUUUUUAGUUUGGGUUUCUUCUUUUAUUCAUCAUUAUCCUGUGGCAAGUGUUUCCCCAGGGUAUGAAAUAUUAUUAAAAGUACAGACUUUAAGGGCUGUUUUGCUGUUUAUCACGUGUAUCAUAAUGUAUUUAAUGCUCCCCAUCUUUUUUUGAAUAUUUAAGUAGCUUUCUGGGUUGAAAUCUUGUAAAUUACACUGCAAUAAAUGUGUUUAUCAUUGGUGCACAUAUCUCUACAUUUCUAAAGGCUGAAAUUAUUGGGUCAAAGGUGAAUUUUUAAUGCUCUUGAUAAAUAUUGCCAAACUGAUCCCUUGACAGAUUUUGAUGCUA